UACGUAGGGGGCAAGCGUUGUCCGGAUUUAUUGGGCGUAAAGAGCGUGUAGGCGGUCAGGUAGGUCCGUUGUGAAAACUCGAGGCUCAACCUCGAGACGCCGAUGGAAACCAUCUGACUAGAGUCCGGAAGAGGAGAGUGGAAUUCCUGGUGUAGCGGUGAAAUGCGCAGAUAUCAGGAAGAACACCCGUGGCUAAGGCGGCUCUCUAGUACGGUACUGACGCUGAGACGCGAAAGCAUGGGGGAGCGAACAGG
rnacentral:rRNA from 1 species